rnacentral:tRNA from 1 species
UUUUAAAAUUAUCAGUGGUUAGAGCGUAGGUCUCGUGAACGAAAGGUUGCGGGAUCGAAUCCCGCUAGAAG